ACAGGAAGUGAAGGUGCAACAGGAAGUGAAGGUACAACAGGAAGUGAAGGUGCAACAGGAAGUGAAGGAGCAAGCAGGAAGUGAAGGGGAAGGCAGAGUCACAAACUCCCCAGCUGAGUACUGAGGGUGUGGACCAACAUACAGAGCCCAGCUACAAACCUGGCAGAAAUGUAUUUCUUCAUUCCAGGAGUUUAAGGAUCUCUGUCAAAUUACUAUCUGAACCCUAAGCUAAUAGAACAUGAGCACACAUGGUAAGGAAACUAUUUUUUUAAAGUGACAUAAACAAACAGAAACAACCACAAUCUACAGCAAUCAGCAACAGCAGACUGUGCAGAGGGAGGAGAACCUCACACCCGGAAAUCUCCCAUUGUAAUAGUCACUGUCCAGUUUUCACCAGAAGCAUAUGCCAUGCAAAGCAGCAAGAAAUAGGAGCUACAAAUGAGGGGAAAGCAAUUAAUAGAAAAUCUUCCUGAGGAAGCCCAGAAUUGGACUUACUAGACAAAGCCUUUCAAUCAACUCCCUUAAACAAGUUCAAAAAACUAAAUAAAAUCACAGACAAAGAAGUAAAGUAAACCAGGAGAAUGAUGCGUCACCAAAUAGAGAAUAUCGAUAAAGAGAAGGAAUUUUAAAAAUAAAUUAAAUAGAAGUUCUGGAAUUGGAAAGUACAAUCACCGAAAUAAAUAACUCAUGAUAUGGUUGCGACAGCAGAUUUUAGCAGCUAUAAGUAGUGAAUGCAAAGAUAGAUCCACUAAAGUAUUCUAGUCUGAGGAGUAGGUGAGAGAAUGAAGAAAAAUGAACAAAUCUGAAGAGACCUGUGGGACACCAUCGAGCAUACCAACAUACUUAGCAGAAUUUCCCGAUGAAGGGGAGACAGAGGGAGCAGAAAAAUAUAGUUAAAGAAAUAAUGGCCCAAACUUCCAAAACUGAGGAAACACAUCAGUCUAACUCAAAGAGAUUCACACAAAAACAUAGUAUAAUAUAAUCAAACUCUCAAAAGUCAAAACAAAGAAUCUAGAAAGCAGCUGGACAGAAGACUAACAGCAGAUUUCUCAUCAGAAACCAUGGAGGCCAGAAGGCAUUGGGAUGACAUAUGUAACAUGCUAGGUGGGGGGCCAGGGGCAGGGAGCACCCAGGAAGAAAAAGGACAUCUGCAUCUGGCAAGAUUAUCCUUCAAAAGUGAAGAAGUAACACAUUUUAAGCUAAAUGGCCAGUGUGAUGCAAGCUUCCCACACACAGAAGCAGAACUUGAGAGAGUUUUACACAGCCUAAGAAAACGGCGGCACAAUGGAAUCAUUUUCAGAGCUCCAAAUUACUCUUCCCCCAAAAUGUUUACUAUUUCAGCCCAUUUUUAUGGAGGAUCUUCCCUAUUCCAGGCACUAUUUUAGCCCCUCUGGGAUUGAGUAGUGAAGAAAACAAACACGUCCUGCCUACGUGAAGCUUGAGUUUGGAGGAUGGGAACUGAGAACAGCGAAGACAAUGAGUAAGAAAAGGUGCUCCAGUGCUCCCAUCUUCUACCCGCUGCUCCUGCCUCUUCUGUGAGGACCGGCUUUAGGGAGGAGAUGCCCCCAUCAUCGUGAGUGGGACAGCUCUCGCUUGGGAUGCCACACUUUGCUUAAGGCUGAAGGAUCACCCCAGCCUCCACAGCCCCCUUCUUACAACUGGGGCUGAACUGGCGGGGUGGUGGCAGCUGGUCAUAGGUGGUCCACUUCUGUCUUAUUUUAGAAAGCCCUGUGGGGACGGAUCUGACCCAGAAGAUUAGCACUAUUUUUAGAAUGAGAAGUAGUUUCCAGCAUUGCCAGAUUCAGACCAACAAAGACGUUCUA